AACUUUCGGCAACGGAUCUCUUGGUUCUGGCAUCGAUGAAGAACGCAGCGAAAUGCGAUACGUAAUGUGAAUUGCAGAAUUCAGCGAAUCAUCGAAUCUUUGAACGCACAUUGCGCCUCCGGGUAUUCCUGGAGGCAUGCUUGUUCGAGCGUCGUUAAAGACCAUAAGGCUUUGCCUUGCGUUGAGCUGUUGAUCAUCCGGUCAACAACUUCAAACUGAUUGGCGUCUGAAGUUUAGCCCAAGCACAGCAACAUGUGACGGUAAGCUAACCUCAAAUUGCCUAUUCUAUCCAUACAGGUCGACCUCGGAUCAAGCAAGACUACCCGCUGAACUUAAGCAUAUCAAUAAGCGGAGGCU
rnacentral:misc_RNA from 1 species